rnacentral:rRNA from 1 species
AUUGAACGCUGGCGGCAGGCCUAACACAUGCAAGUCGAGCGAGCGGCGGACGGGUGAGUAAUGUCUGGGAAACUGCCUGAUGGAGCUGGGUAACUACCGGAAACGGUAGCUAAAUACGCAUAUUAUCAGCUGUGCUCAGGUGGGACUGGCUGGUGGGUGGGGUAACGGCUCACCAAGGCAACGAUCCCUAGCGGGUCUGAGAGGACGACCAGCCACACUGGAACUGAGACACGGUCCAGACUCCUACGGGAGGCAGCAGUGGGGAAUAUGGCACAAUGGGCGCAAGCCUGAUGGAGCAAUGCCGCGUGUGUGAAGAAGGCCUUCGGGUCGUAAAGCACUGUCAGCAGGGAGGCGGUACCCACAGAGGAAGCACCGGCUAACUCCGUGCCAGCAGCCGCGGUAAUUC